rnacentral:misc_RNA from 1 species
AACGCAACUUGCGCUCCCGGGAUAUGCCUGGGAGCAUGCUUUCUUGAGCGUCGGUUCUAUCAUCAUCUCACUGAUCUUUGGUCAGUGGAAAAUGAGUUUCCAAAGCGCGUUGAGUCGUGCCUGGAGGCUUGAAAUAAUUGAUUGGGGCAUCUCUUAGCGAAUCUAUCUCGAGUCGCACUAAUGCUCUGUGACGUGGAUAAUUUCACCUUCAACGGUGUAUCCUUCUAACGUUGCAGGGUGGCGUCGUCGAUUUGAUCUGCACCCUUUAAUGGGGAGGGAUGAUCCAUAAGCGAGUAAGGUGUAACUCUUUGCAUUCUUAUUCAACUUUAACAUCCUUUUGGAUAUUUAGACCUCAAGUAAAGUAAGAGUACCCGCUGAACUUAA